CCCAAUUGGAUCUUACAAAACAAUUCUAGGUUAUGAGUUAUGAAUUUGAUGAACAACUCAUUCACGGGAACUUUUCAUUUGCCAAACUACAAGCAUGAUUUGCUUGAGUUUGAAAUUUCGUGCAACAACAUCACUGGUGUGCUGCCCAAGGAGUUUGGUUUGGUCCUCUCAAAUCUACAAUAUAUAAACAUGUCAAGAAAUAAUUUCAACGGGGAACAUUUUUUCUCAAAAUAUGAACUUGAGAAGCUUGACGACAUUGGAUAUGAAAAACAACAACUUCAGUGCGAUGAUAGGCGUAGACUUCUUGGACGGAUCCUCCCUAUCUUUUUUGGACAUAUUCAAUAAUAAGGUAUCAGGUUCAUUUCCUAGACAACUAUGUAAUAUGAGUAGUCUUGAAUUUUUAGACCUCUCAGAAAAUAGGUUAUAUGGGCCUAUGCCUUCUUGCCUAAAUGCUUCAUCAUUGCGCUUCUUGUUUUUACAAAAGAACAGUCUAAAUGGAUCCAUACCCCAUGUGCUUCUUAGAAGUCCUAAUUUAGUGGCACUUGAUCUGAGGGAUAAUAGUUUUUCUGGAAAUAUUCCAUCUUGGAUCAGUUAGCUCUCCCAAUUGCAUGUGCUUUUAUUGGGAGGUAAUGAAUUACAUGGCAGUAUUCCUAAUCAGUUGUGUGAAGCAAUAACUGUGAGUAUCAUGGAUCUUUCAAGUAAUUUACUUUCAGGUUCCAUACCUUCGUGCUUUAAUAACAUAUCUUUUGGGAAUAAUAUAUCAUUUAGAAUGAUGGGAGUCUAUUAUUUUUACCCUAUGAAUGAAAGAUAUGAAGUCGUUUGUGCUCCAAGAGAUAGCAGUAUUGACUUGUAUCUGCCUUGUGUACCUUGGGAUUCUUGAGAAUAUGUGGAAGUGGAAUUUGCAAUGAACUCUUCCAGGAGUGAUAUUAUCAACUUGAUGGCAUGAAUAGAUUUAUCAUGCAAUAAGUUAAGUGGUAGAAUUCCUCAAGAAAUUAGAGACCUGCAUGGAAUUCGGUCAUUGAAUUUGUCUGACAAUCACUUAACAGGAUCUAUGCCAGUCAGUUUUUCAAAUUUAAGGAGUUUAAAGAGCUUAGAUCUUGGCAACAAUAAUUUUAAUAGUGAAAUUCCUAGUGAACUAGUUAUGUUGAAUUUUUUGGAAACCUUCAAUAUUUCAUACAACAAUUUGUCAGGUAGAGUCCUUAAUAAAGGGCAGUUUGGGACCUUCGAUGAAAAUAGCUACAAAGGUAACCCCAGCCUUUGCAGAUCACUCAUUCAUAGGAGCUGCAAAACUGAUGAAACUCCACCACCAUCACCAUCUGUUAAUAUAGAAGAGGAAGAUGAAGGUGGUAUUGUUAUGGUGUGAUUCUAUUGGAGUUUCUGUGCAUCCUUUGUCACAAUUCUAUUGUUGUUGGUAGCAAUCCUCUGCAUCAAUAGGCAUUGGUGCAUGUUAUGGUUUAACUUGGUUGAUAUUUGUAUUAAUUCAAUUUUGGUUUGGCUCAAUCAAUAAUUUAUUUAGUGUCUAUACAAAAAUGUAGGCUUUUGCUAGUGCUUGAAGAACAUGAGAACUCCAUUAAUAUGAAUAUUAUUGGUCUGUGCUAGUCAUUGUAAUAAUUGAAAUUUGAAUUUCAUUUCCAUUGCCAAAAGUAGGAUGUAAGAUGCGUCAACAUUAUUUUAAUGCGCUCUUUAAAUUUACUUUUAUUGAUUGUUAUUAUCUUCAUAUAAUAUCUCUUUCUCAUUAUUUAAACUAUUAAAUUUUCUAUAAUAAUAUAAAGGCAUUAAAGUAGGUCUUUCCUUAUUACUAAUAAAUAAACAUGAAAAAGAAAGUAGGUAAAGUAUGUUUUACGUAGAAUUAAACAGCUACAUCUAACGGCAGAAACAACCAGUGGAAAGGGAAUUGAUUUUCCAAGGCCUAAAUCCAAAUUGUAAAAAAUUGGCCACAUUCUAAAAUUAUAACGUAUUAUUAUUAUUAUUAAACUACUGUAGUUUAAAUCUUGUUUAUUUAUUUAAUAUUAUUUAUAAAUCACAAAUAUUUUUUUAAAAGAAACUUUUAAACCUCGAUGUAAGAAAAAUAAAGAAAUGCUUGAAAUGGUUGGAUGUGUGUGUUUUCAACAUGCUUCCUUGAGACUGAGCGUCUUUUAUUUAUUUAUUGUAUCCCUUUGGUUCUAGGCUUGUAAUUUUGUUCCAUCCAGAGUUGCAUUUAGCCUGUGUUUUCCUUGGCUGGGUACACUUGGAUUUUUUAGUUUCGAUGACUUGGAUUACAAAGGGGGUAAAAGAAGAAAGGAGAGGAAGACUAUUCACAAAAAGCAAUUGAAGGAUCAAACAUCUCCAGAUCGCUCAAAGAGCUCAAGCCAGUUUCAGCAUCAAUAGCACCACUGGUGAUUGCUUGCUUCACGUGCAAGAAUUGCUGAAUCUGCUUCCUUUGGUUUCUCCACUCCAGGUGUGAUCUGUACCUUGCUUCCUUUAAUUCUAUGGAUUGUGAUAAAUCUGAUACAAUAUCUGUUAAGUUUAAUGGGAGGAACAAUUCCCUAUGGGAAUUUCAUUUUCAUUUUUUUAUUGAAGGUAAGGGACUUUUGAAUGUUUUGGAUGGUUCAUUAAAAGAGCCUACAGAUGAUAAAGAAAAAGCAAAUUGGAGAGUCAAUAAUGCUAGAGUUAUUACUUGGAUUUUAAAUUCAGUUGAGAAAGACAUAGCUUUAAGCUUGAGACCUUUUAGUACUGCUAAUGAAAUUUGGGUCCACUUACAGAAGUUAUAUUCUCAACCAAAUCAUGCUAGAUUGUUUGAAAUAGAAUAUGAAAUUGCUAGAAUCAAUCAAGAUGAUAAGGAUGUAUGGACAUUUUACUCUGAAGAGUCUGAACUCAUAUGAUUAUGGACUGAACUUGAUAUGGUUUCUAUGAGUCUUGUUGACAAAUCAGCUUAUGCAGAUUUAAAAAAAGAAAGGGACAGAAAUAGGGUGCUGCAAUUUCUUAUGAAGCUUAGGCCAGAAUUUGAGAAUAUAAGGGCCACUAUAGUCAAUCGUGGGAUCACAGAUUUUGAUUCAGUUUUGGUAGAGUUACUUUGAGAGGAAACUCAGCUACAAACUCAAGCUAAUUUGGAUGCAAAAGCUAAUAAUGUUGAUACUAUCUUUUUUGCUUCUUGUAGUAGACCACCAAUAAGAAAAUGAUUGGGGAAAAUGGAACAGUUCAAUGCAGAUUUUGUGGAGAAAUGUACAGUUGCUAGUCUACUUGUGCAACCUCAAAAGCAUUUUUUUGGGGCUCAGUGGCACUGUUACCUGAAUUUUCAUGUAGAGAUAGGACAUUUUAUAAUUGGCAGUUGCAUCACAAAUUAUUUUAUUUAAGUAUCAAGAAGUUAGAUUGUGUAUAGUGUUGAAGUUGCUGGCCUUUUCUAAUGUCUUGGUAUUUUAGUGUUCUUGGUGUUGUAGUAAGGUUUUCCUAUCCUUUUUUAUCUAAUAAAAUCUUUUUCUUAAAAAAAAAAAACAUUAUCACUGGUUAGUCCCUAAGGAAUUUGGUUCAAUCCUUCCAAAUAUGGCCUUUAUAAAAAUGUCAAGGAAUAGUUUUGACUUUUGAUGGCAAUCUUCCUUCUUCAAUUGGUGAGAUAGGAGGACUAUCUUUUCUGGAUUUGUCUAAUAAUAAAUUCUCAUAAGAGUUGCUGGAAGGAAGUUUGCUAAUUGUACCGAUUUAGAUAUAUUAAUUCUAUCAAGCACCAAUUUUCAAGGGAAGAUUUUUCCCAAGAAUAUGAACAUGAGAGACUUGAGGGUCUUAAAAUGAAUAAUAACAACUUCAGUGGGAUGGUUGUAGACUAGUUGAACAGUCCAUUGCUAAUUGUUUUGGACUUAUCCAAUGAUAAGGUAUUAAGUGCAAUUUCGAUUCAGCUAUGUUAAUCUGAGCAUUCUUGAAAUUUUAAAACUCUCACUUAAUAGGUUAUGUGGUCUAUGCCUUCUUACUUCAACGCUUCAACUUUGCGAUUCUUGUUUCUUGAUAAGAAUAGUUUAAGUGUUUCUAUACCCUAUGUGCUUUCUAAAAUUCAUAAUUUAAUGGCAUUGGAUGUCUGGAUCUAAGUGACAAUAGAUUAUCUAGAAAAACUCCACCUUGGAUCGGCCAGCUUUCCAAAUUGUGAGUUCUUUUUGUUAUAGUAAGCAUGCAAAUCUAAGGCAUAUAUACAAAUCGCACAAUUGCACAGUAUAGAAAAAAUAAGAAGAAUAACACAUGAUUAAUCGUGGUUCGACCGUAUAGUCUGUCUACGGGCAAGACAAGAGGAAAAGUUUCACUAUGAUGAAAAAGACAAGAUACAAUUACUCAGAACUCUUAAAUCUUAACCUAAGUGUAUUUCUCAAAUAUUUCACAAUUCGAUCGCAAAGGGCAGAAUAUUACAAUAUUUAUAAUGGUCUUUAAAAAAAAAAAAAAUAUAUAUAUAUAUAUAUAUAUAUAUAUAUAUAAUAACAAAUAUAAUUUCUUUUGGCAAAUAACAAAGUUAUUUACUAAUCCCAUCAAUAAUAAAAAAUUAUUUUAUUUAUAAUUAUUAUCAAUAAUAAAAAAUUAUUUUAUUUAUAAUUAUUAAUUUUAUUGUUGCGAAUUGAGAUGAAAUAAUAUAAUUUAGUCAGUGCUUUUAAAUUCUAAAAUUCAACUCACUUAUAUUUGUAAGAUUAUCUAAAUAUAUUACUUUUCUUUAUACAAAAUUUUCAACUUUUAAAAGUUCAGAGAUUUUGAAUUUGGAGCACAAUGAAUUAACAGGAUGUAUUCCUGAAUAUAUGUGGACUCCACCUUUUCUCAAAGUAUUAUCUUUAUCUAACAACAAACUCAAUGGCUCUUUACCGAAUCAAAGUAAGUAGCAAAAUUCCAAUUUUGUUAUUAUCAAUUGUAAUGAUUUUGUUACAUAGAAUGGAGAUGAUAAUGUUAUUCUUUGUUAUAUAGGUUUGUGUGGCUUGAAGAGUCUUCAAGAGUUAGAUCUCAGAUUUAACAAAUUUAGGGGCAGUCUUCCAUAAUGCCUUGACAAUUUGACAACUCUCACAUUCUUAGAUGUGUGUGGAAACCAAUUAACAGGCCAUAUUCCUUCAUCUUGGCCAGCUAACCUUAAAUGUAUUAGUCUUAGCAAUAAUCUUUUUGAGGGCUUAUUCUCUUUCAAUUUAAUUGCUAAUUAUUCUACCCUUGAGGUGGUUCUAUUAAGUGGCAUAACAUUGCAUUUGAUGAAACUAGUUAGAUUCCAACAUUUCAGAUAAAAGUUCUUAUAAUGCAAAGUUGUGGUCUUGACAGUAUUCCUAGUUUCUCUUUCACCAAUUCAAAUUGGAAGUCCUCGACUUGUCUCACAACAAACUCAAAGGAAGGUUUCCUAAUUGGUUGCUUGAGAACAGUGGAGGAUUUGAGAUCCUAAAUCUUAUGAAUAAUUCUUUCAAUGGGUGGCUUGAAGAAAUUGGUAAAAAGAUGCUUCCGAAUAUGGGAUAUCUUAAUUUAGCCAGAAAUUGUUUUCAAGCUUAAGGGUUGUGCUUUACCAGUCUUGUGUCAAGGAAUCAUCUGGAGGUCAGUCACCUCACCACUCCUUUGAUGAUUCAGAAGCAUCUAGGUGUCUUGUUCGACAAGUAAUUAAAGAAAGUUUGACCAAGUUGGAGGAGAUGCCUGUUGCUUCUUAAAGGUCCAUUAGACGGGAACCGGGUUCAUGUUGGAUGCAACAUCUGCAAAAGCAGGAAACUCCAUCAGAUACUGAUUCUAAACACUCUGAGGAGGAUACUGAGACCGAACAUGCUGUAAAAGGUCUUGGAAAAGAAUUUAAGUUCUUGAAGAAGAGGGAUAAAAAAACUAGUAUGAAUGGCACCCUUGAGAAGGAAGAAACUAAAACUGGCCUCUGCAGACUAAAUGUUAGAACUGAUGAAGGACGGCAUAGCAAUGGAGACUCCAACAGUGAAAAUGAAUUGAAGGAAUUGAUUUCUGAAGAAGCCUUCUUCUGUCUGAAAGAAUCUGGAACUGGCCUUCAUUUAAAGUCAGUGGAUGAGCUUAUUCAAAUGGCAUAUGGAUAUUAUAAUGAAAUUGCUUUGCCAAAGCUGGUAACAGACUUUGGCUUGCUAGGACUUUCCCCUGUUGAUGGACGUACACUAACUGACUUCAUGCAUUUAAGGGCACUACAGAUGCGCUCUAUGGGCCGGGUGUUCGAACUGGCAGAGAAGCUUCCUCAUUUACAAUCACUUUGUAUCCAUGAGAUGGUUACUAGAGCUUUCAAGCACAUAGUGAAAGCAGUUAUUGCAUCUGUGGAGAAUGUAGCAGACCUAUCGGCAGCCGUAGCUUCUUCCCUAAAUUUCUUCUUUGAAUCAUGUAAUAUGGAAGAUAAUAACCAAAAUAUGAAGGAUGAUUAUAAUCUCAAAUUGCAUUGGUUACAAACGUUUCUUUCUAGAAGAUUGGUUGGACAUUAAAAGAUGAGUUUCUCCACUUGAGAAAGUUAUCAAUUCUUUGAGGACUUUGCCAUAAGGUGGGGCUGGAGUUAGUUCCAAGAGAUUAUGAUAUGGAAUGCCCAAACCCUUUCAGGAAAUUUGACAUCAUCAGCAUGGUUCCUGUGUGUAAGCAUGUAGGAUGCUCUUCAGCAGACGGACGAAAUUUAUUGGAGUCAUCCAAGAUUUCUCUUGAUAAAGGAAAGCUGGAGGAUGCUGUUAAUUAUGGAACAAAGGCACUAGCAAAGAUGAUAGCUGUAUGUGGUUCCUAUCAUUGGACUACUGCAAGUGCUUAUAGUCUUCUAGCUGUAGUUCUUUACCACACUGGAGACUUUAAUCAGGUAAUAAAACUUCUCUGCCAUGUAUCUGCUUUAGUUUUAGGAAUUUGAUUUGGGUCAUUCUUAUUUCCCUUCAAGCAAAGGCAUUUGUCUAAAUCAUUAGAAUUAUUUGUUGAAGUGAAGCAUAAAAUGGUGCAUUUAAUUGGUAUAUGAUUGGAUGUAAAAAAGAUUCCAAGUUCUUAAUAUCUCUAAUUAUAGAAUGGCUAUUCAAGAAUCAGAGUAGAUCUUAGAAGUUACUGCAGUGCGUCAGUUUCUUAUUAAUAUGUGUUAUUUUUUGUAGCUUGAAUUUUGGAUAUAUUUUUCAAGGACUUGAAUUAUGACCCGACUCUAAAGUUUUCGUGCUGUGACCCGAUUGGAAUAAAAAGUGAGAUUUGUGGUGGUAGCGGAGGGCAUAGGCCGAUAGUGGAACUUUUUUCAUCAUAGUGGAACUUUUUUUGAAAGUUCUGAGUGAUUGUAUCUUGUUUUUUUCUUUAUAGUGGAACUUUUUUUCUUGUUUUUUUUCUUCAUAGUGGAACUUUUUUUCUUUUGUCUUGCCCGUGGACGUAGACCUUGUGAUUGAACCACGUUAAAUUCUAUAUUAUUCUUAUUCUUUUUUUCUAUACUGUGUGAUUGUGCAAUUUGUGUAUGCCUUAGAUUUGCGUGCUUGUUAUAACAAUAUGGUAGGUGUUUGCAUGUUUGAGCAUCGAUUAUUGCUAGCAGAAAACGAAGCGGACGCCUCAGUAACCGAAAGAAUAAAUGCUUUGACUGAACCAGCCCGGAUAGAGGAGAAGAUUCUAGAAUGAGAGAGAUCGGGAGAGAGGCCCGGCAUGAGAGAUCGGAAAAGGAUUGUAUUAGAAAGAUCGGAAGGGAUGGGAGAUCGGAAAGCAAAGAGAGAAUAAGACAACUUCCAAUAACUGUCGUCAUAAUCAGAGCCGAGGUAGUUAAAGCGUUGCAGACGAGAUCAAAUCUCCAUUGCACGCCUCAUUUGCAGAACCGCCUACAUUGCUGACAGGUGCCAGGAUAUGUCAUGACAGUCCUGUACAUCUCGAUCUCCACCGUUGAUCUUACUUGGAAGGACAAGCCCAGAGCCCUUAGAUCAAAGAGAAGACGACAAGACCGGUGCCUUUUAUUCCCGGCCCUCAGAUCUCCCUUGAUAAGAGGAUUUUGAGCCGUUGGAUUAGAAAAGAGAAAGGACAAAUAUUCUGAAUAGGAUCUCAGCCAUUCAUUUUGAUUCUCUUCAAUUCUCAAGCAUCAGAUCAUGUCCUUUAAAAUCCAAACCUUCCAUCUCCCUCAAAGAAAAUCCUGACCCUUCAUUGGGAGCACCCGUUCCCUAUAAAUACCUGCAUGAAAACUGUUGAAGGGGGGAGACGAACAAAAAAGGGGUGGUGAUUAUAGUAGAAAGGCUCUGAAACUUGAUUCAGUCUUGCUACUCUGCUAUUUUUAAGCUUUCAAAAUAGAAAAACUUCAGAAACUAGUUUUCUAAAGAUUUCCAUUGAAGGAGGGUUGAAUACUGAAACUCUUCAUUUUCAGUUUGUUCAUUACUCUGUGAUACCAUCCCCCAGUUUCAGUUUUGUCUUCAUCAUCUUUAUAUCAACUUUUUUAAGCUCCAUCUCAUUCCAACCCGGUUACUGUUACUUCGGUUCGACUGCAUUUUAACUCGGUAUUCUGUAUUUCAAGGCAAGCAUUACUCCCCAGAUUAUUAGCUCGCAGCUCUACUAUAGUUGUGACUUCACAGUUAGUUCAAUAGAUUCAACUCCCCACAGGUGAGCGUCUGAACCGUUGUUUUGUCAAGCUUUUUUAUUUUCCUUUGUUUUCAUGCUCGUAAUUUUCAUCAAGUUUAUGUCAUGUUAAAGAGUUCCACGAGGGUAGUUAUUCUCUUGAGUUUACCUCUUAUUCAUCAGUUCAUUUGUUCUUAGCCUUAUUACCUUUAGAUAUAGGUGUUCUGGUUACGAGUAACGUAUAAGUAGUUUAAUAGAAUGUUGGUAGCUGUGUCUUAACACAAGAGUUUCUUUAAAAUAAUAAAAGUUUGGAUAAUAAAUCAGAGGAAAAUUAUGAAGUCGAAUCACUAGACUAGCUCAGAAGAUGACUAGUAUAGUGGGGGAUCAAAGUAAGGUCGGACCCCAGACUAACAAACGAAAGAGAUCGAAUAUUGCCUGUCGAAAGGUACUGGUAAGGCGAUUAAAUAGGAGAUCGGUAAAAAUUCAGUCUGGUAUCCCCUAUCUAGUUAUAAGGUACCAAUGGGUUAAGAGAAGCCUGAUUCGGGUUCCCAGUGUCUUCGGAUGCCAGAACCCUUAGUCUAAGGUCCUUGCGCUAUACGAUCGUAACUAAAUUUCAAGAGGUCAAGGGAGAGUUCUUACCCAAUCCUCAUUCGAACAAAAAAGAGGAGAUCGGAGGAGAGUUCUUAUCCGAUUCUCAAUCAAAUUUUAAAUAUUAAAGAGAUCGGAGGAGAGUUCUUAUUCGAUUCUUAAUCAAAUUAUAAAUAUUUAAAGAGAUCGGAGGAGAGUUCUUAUCUGAUCCUCAAUCAAAAUUUUAAUAAAUAUUAAAGAGAUCGAAGGAGAGUUCUUAUCCGAUUCUUAAUCAAAUUAUAAAUAUUUAAAGAGAUCGGAGGAGAGUUCUUAUCUGGUCCUCAAUCAAAAUUUUAAUAAUUAUUUAAAGAGAUCGGAGGAGAGUUCUUAUCCGAUUCUCAGUCAAAUUUUAAUAAAUAUGGGGAGACCGGAGGAGAGUUCUUAUCCGAGAUUCCCCAUCCAAAUUUUAAACAGAUUAUCCCUAGAGAUCGGGAGAAGCUUUUACUCGGAUUCUCUUAAAUCCAAACUAAAAUGGCACAAUACGCAAAGUAACCCUCUAAACAAAACCGUUACGCAACACCAACUCACUAAGGGUCGUCUCCUGUACUUAUGUAUUUGGGUAACCCGAAACAGUGAAAAAUUAAAUAUUCCCUCUUAUCAAAGGGAUUAACAUCUUCAUUCUAACCCCCCUAGCUAUCGAUUUUAAUUUAUAAAGAGCAUAAUGUUAAAUCUGUUUGCCCUCAUAGAUGGUUCCCCGCCCGUAUACGGACCCCGAACCUAGAAUCUUUGUUUUCGAAGUGGUUUCAUUUUAAUUUAUUUUCACAAAUGAUUUUCUUUAAUUUCCCUCAAAAUUAAAGUGGCGACUCCUCACUCUUUUCCACUUCGGUGAGUGUUCGUCCAGGCGACCGCAAAAUACCUUGCGACAGGUAACACCUACAGAGUGAGACCAUCUGGUCUCCAAUAUGGGGUCUGGGAUAGUUUUUGCAUUACAAUGGAUGUUUUGCCUAAAGUUUAGUGAUUGUGUGGCAGUAAGGCACAGGGUAUGACUUUGCUCCCCUAAAAAGGAGAUCGAAUGCUAUGAAUGGUGUUCAUAGCCUGUGAAAUGAUGCUUUAAGGAGUUUGCAAUAUGAUAAGAGAGCAGAUAGCCUAACAUGAUCUUAUCUUUUCAAGAGGGACAAAAGGUUACUGCUAGUGAUGGUGACCUAUGAAAUAGUAUCCCAAAUGAGACUAUUGAGUGAGGUAAAUAGUUGUUAGCUUAGGUAUCCUGGAGAGGGUACAAGUUUCAUUGUAGGAAUCAUAAGUGAUCAGAUCAUGAUAGAUGUAAAGCCUUUGAAUUGAAUAAAUAUCUUAAGUUUUGGCUAAUUGAGUGGAUAUGAAAAAAUAGAAUCCCUGCAGAUCCCCUCCUUAAAGUAGUAGGAGAUAGUAUGUAGUCUAAAGGAUAAGGACAGAGAUCAUACAAUAAAUGCGUGGCUGCAAUUCUCUAAGUUUCUUUUCAACUUCUUAUUACUCGAGAAAAGAGUAUGCUCUAAACAAAUGAUAUUAAGGGCAGUAAGUCAGCAAAGGCAAAUUACAGAAUGUCAGUAAAUAUAAAAAGCGUAGAAGUGAAAAUUUUGACAGUUGAUUGCAGAUGCAGCAUAAUCCGAAUGUCAGUAGAAGUACUAGUUAGAGUGAUCAAAGGACUAAUUCUGAGUAACAUUGAGGUGUAGAUGACUUGGUAGAGACAGUAAAAAGGUACAAGUUUCUAACAUGACAGUCAAGUCAAGAAAGAGAAUAGAGUUAAAGAAUAAAAUAGUCAAAGUUCAAAUUUGGGUAAGAUAAAAAGAGUUGGCUAAAGAACAAACUGAAAGGCCCAAAUUAUGAUAAGAUUUGGAAGAGUAGAGUCAAGAUACAGAGGAGACAAAAUACAGUUCUAGAAAAAGUAAACGAUCUCUUUGGGGGGUGUAGGGCAAUGCCUUCGCGAUAUGAAUUAGUAUAAAUAUUAUAAUAUUCUGUCACUUGCAGUAGUGAGAUAUUCAAGAAACACACUGGAGUUAGGUUUGAGAGUUCUGAAUGAUUGUAUCUUGCUCUUUUUAUCAUAGUGAAACUUUUUUUCUUGUCUUACCCGUAGACGUAGACCUUACGGUAAAAUCAUAUUAAAUCCCAUAUUUAUCUUCUUAUUUUUUCUAUAUUGUGUGAUUGUGCAAUUUUUGUGUGUAUUUUAGAUUUGCAUGCCUGUCAUAAUUGUAUC